rnacentral:rRNA from 1 species
UUUGAUCCUGGCUCAAAACGAACGCUGGCGGCGUGAAUCAUUCAUGCAAGUCAAACGGAUCAUUUGGUGUACCAAUACAUUGAGGGGUUAGGGGCGCAGGGGUGAGUAACACGUGGCCAACCUGCCCGGAAGUAGGGAAUAGCCCGCCAAAAGGCGAAUUAAUACCGUAUGUGACGAGGAGCGGCUUCCCUUCGUAGUCAAAGUUGGUGAAAGCUAACGCUUCUGGAUGGGCCCGCGGCCUAUCAGCUAGUUGGUGAGGUAAUGGCUCACCAAGGCUAUGACGGGUAGCUGGUCUGAAAGGACAACCAGCCACACUGGAACUGAAACACGGCCCAAACACCUACGGGUGGCAGCAGUCGAAAAUUUUUCUCAAUGGGGGAAACCCUGAAGGAGCGACCCCGCGUGGAGGAUGAAGGUCUUCGAAUUGUAAACUCCUGUCAUGAGAGAGUAAGGCAUCUCGUUAACUGC